GAUGAACGCUGGCGGCGUGCUUAACACAUGCAAGUCGAACGAAGCACUUUAUUUGAUUUCCUUCGGGACUGAAGAUUUUGUGACUGAGUGGCGGACGGGUGAGUAACGCGUGGGUAACCUGCCUCAUACAGGGGGAUAACAGCUGGAAACGGCUGCUAAUACCGCAUAAGCGCACAGUGCUGCAUGGCACAGUGUGAAAAACUCCGGUGGUAUGAGAUGGACCCGCGUCUGAUUAGCCAGUUGGCAGGGUAACGGCCUACCAAAGCGACGAUCAGUANCCGACCUGAGAGGGUGACCGGCCACAUUGGGACUGAGACACGGCCCAAAUCCUACGGGAGCAGCAGUGGGGAAUA
rnacentral:rRNA from 1 species